GACGAACGCUGGCGGCGUGCUUAACACAUGCAAGUCGAACGGAAAGGCCCUGCUUUUGUGGGGUGCUCGAGUGGCGAACGGGUGAGUAACACGUGAGUAACCUGCCCUUGACUUUGGGAUAACUUCAGGAAACUGGGGCUAAUACCGGAUAGGAGCUCCUGCUGCAUGGUGGGGGUUGGAAAGUUUCGGCGGUUGGGGAUGGACUCGCGGCUUAUCAGCUUGUUGGUGGGGUAGUGGCUUACCAAGGCUUUGACGGGUAGCCGGCCUGAGAGGGUGACCGGCCACGUUGGGACUGAGAUACGGCCCAGACUCCUACGGGAGGCGGCAGUGGGGAAUAUUGCACAAUGGGCGGAAGCCUGAUGCAGCAACGCCGCGUGCGGGAUGACGGCCUUCGGGUUGUAAACCGCUUUCGCCUGUGACGAAGCGUGAGUGACGGUAAUGGGUAAAGAAGCACCGGCUAACUACGUG
rnacentral:rRNA from 1 species